rnacentral:rRNA from 1 species
GGGGUAGAGCACUGUUUCGGCUAGGGGGCCAUCCCGGCUUACCAACCCGAUGCAAACUGCGAAUACCGGAGAAUGUUAUCACGGGAGACACACGGCGGGUGCUAACGUCCGUCGUGAAGAGGGAAACAACCCAGACCGCCAGCUAAGGUCCCAAAGUCAUGGUUAAGUGGGAAACGAUGUGGGAAGGCCCAGACAGCCAGGAUGUUGGCUUAGAAGCAGCCAUCAUUUAAAGAAAGCGUAAUAGCUCACUGGUCGAGUCGGCCUGCGCGGAAGAUGUAACGGGGCUAAACCAUGCACCGAAGCUGCGGCAGCGACACUCAGGUGUUGUUGGGUAGGGGAGCGUUCUGUAAGCCUGCGAAGGUGGCCUGUGAGGGUUGCUGGAGGUAUCAGAAGUGCGAAUGCUGACAUAAGUAACGAUAAAGCGGGUGAAAAGCCCGCUCGCCGGAAGACCAAGGGUUCCUGUCCAACGUUAAUCGGGGCAGGGUGAGUCGACCCCUAAGGCGAGGCCGAAAGGCGUAGUCGAUGGGAAACGGGUUAAUAUUCCCGUACUUGGUGUUACUGCGAAGGGGGGACGGAGAAGGCUAUGUUGGCCGGGCGACGGUUGUCCCGGUUUAAGCGUGUAGGUGUGUGUUCCAGGUAAAUCCGGUUCACUUUAACACUGAGGCGUGACGACGAGGCACUACGGUGCUGAAGCAACAAAUGCCCUGCUUCCAGGAAAAGCCUCUAAGCAUCAGGUAACAUCAAAUCGUACCCCAAACCGACACAGGUGGUCAGGUAGAGAAUACCAAGGCGCUUGAGAGAACUCGGGUGAAGGAACUAGGCAAAAUGGUGCCGUAACUUCGGGAGAAGGCACGCUGACACGUAGGUGAAGUGAUUUACUCAUGGAGCUGAAGUCAGUCGAAGAUACCAGCUGGCUGCAACUGUUUAUUAAAAACACAGCACUGUGCAAACACGAAAGUGGACGUAUACGGUGUGACGCCUGCCCGGUGCCGGAAGGUUAAUUGAUGGGGUCAGCGCAAGCGAAGCUCCUGAUCGAAGCCCCGGUAAACGGCGGCCGUAACUAUAACGGUCCUAAGGUAGCGAAAUUCCUUGUCGGGUAAGUUCCGACCUGCACGAAUGGCGUAAUGAUGGCCAGGCUGUCUCCACCCGAGACUCAGUGAAAUUGAACUCGCUGUGAAGAUGCAGUGUACCCGCGGCAAGACGGAAAGACCCCGUGAACCUUUACUAUAGCUUGACACUGAACAUUGAGCCUUGAUGUGUAGGAUAGGUGGGAGGCUUUGAAGUGUGGACGCCAGUCUGCAUGGAGCCGACCUUGAAAUACCACCCUUUAAUGUUU